GUAAUACUCCCUCUGUCCAACAAAAGAUGUCUCAACUUUGACUAAAUUUGAAUGCAUCUAUACACUAAGUCAUGUCUAGAUACAUCUAAAUUUUGACAAACUUGAGACAUCUUUUGUUGGACGGAGAGAGUAUCAU
rnacentral:pre_miRNA from 1 species